AUGAACGCUGGCGGCGUGCUUAACACCUGCAAGUCGAACGGAAAGGCUCCUGCUUGCAGGGGUACUCGAGUGGCGAACGGGUGAGUAACACGUGGGUGAUCUGCCCUGCACUUCGGGAUAAGCUUGGGAAACUGGGUCUAAUACCGGAUAGGACCGCAUUUUGGAUGGUGUGGUGGAAAGUUUUUUCGGUGUGGGAUGAGCUCGCGGCCUAUCAGCUUGUUGGUGGGGUAAUGGCCUACCAAGGCGUCGACGGGUAGCCGGCCUGAGAGGGUGUACGGCCACAUUGGGACUGAGAUACGGCCCAGACUCCUACGGGAGGCAGCAGUGGGGAAUAUUGCACAAUGGGCGCAAGCCUGAUGCAGCGACGCCGCGUGGGGGAUGACGGCCUUCGGGUUGUAAACUCCUUUCGCUAGGGACGAAGAGUAAUUGACGGUACCUGGAGAAGAAGCACCGGCUAACUACGUG
rnacentral:rRNA from 1 species